rnacentral:rRNA from 1 species
UGAAGCGGCAAGAGCUCAAAUUUGAAAGCUGGCUCCUUCGGGGUCCGCAUUGUAAUUUGCAGAGGAUGCUUCGGGUGCGGCCCCUGUCUAAGUGCCCUGGAACGGGCCGUCAGAGAGGGUGAGAAUCCCGUCUGGGAUGGGGUGUCCGCGCCCGUGUGAAGCUCCUUCGACGAGUCGAGUUGUUUGGGAAUGCAGCUCUAAAUGGGUGGUAAAUUUCAUCUAAAGCUAAAUACUGGCCGGAGACCGAUAGCGCACAAGUAGAGUGAUCGAAAGAUGAAAAGCACUUUGAAAAGAGAGUUAAAAAGCACGUGAAAUUGUUGAAAGGGAAGCGCUUGCGACCAGACUCGCCUCCAGGGUUCAGCCGGCAUUCGUGCCGGUGUACUUCCCUGGGGGCGGGCCAGCGUCGGUUUGGGCGGCCGGUCAAAGGCUCCCGGAAUGUAGUGCCCUUCGGGGCACCUUAUAGCCGGGAGUGCAAUGCGGCCAGCCUGGACCGAGGAACGCGCUUCGGCACGGACGCUGGCAUAAUGGUCGCAAACGACCCGUCUUGAAACACGGACCAAGGAGUCUAACAUCUACGCGAGUGUUCGGGUGUCAAAA